rnacentral:rRNA from 1 species
UACAGAGGGGGCAAGCGUUGUUCGGAAUUACUGGGCGUAAAGGGCGCGUAGGCGGCCUUCUAAGUCGAACGUGAAAUCCCCGGGCUCAACCCGGGAACUGCGUCCGAUACUGGAAGGCUUGAAUCCGGGAGAGGGAUGCGGAAUUCCAGGUGCAGCGGUGAAAUGCGUAGAUAUCUGGAGGAACACCGGUGGCGAAGGCGGCAUCCUGGACCGGCAUUGACGCUGAGGCGCGAAAGCCAGGGGAGCAAACGGG